rfam:Helianthus annuus linkage group 12, whole genome shotgun sequence.
CUUCGAUGGACCAGGUAGGCGGGAUACCGUGAGUUUAGCAUAUAUAGCGGAGGAAAGAACUUAUAGGAUUCCUUAGUAGGCGAGCGAACGGGAAGCAGCUUGAAAUGGGCGGUUGUGUCGAAUUGUAGUCUGGAGAGGUCUCAGGGCGGACGGGCAAGUCUGGAGGGGGGCGGAGAGGGUGAGAGCCGUGUGCCGGACUGUGCACGAGGCGUGUUGGAGUCGGGUUGUUUGGGAUGCAGCCAUAGGGCGGUAAUUCGUCAAGGUAAUAUGGGUGAGACGAUAGAACAGUACGCGAGGGAAGAUGAAGGAUUUGAAAGAGAGUCAAGAGUGUUGAAUUGUGGGAGGGAGCGAAUGGGGGCGGGAUGCGUCGGUGGAUGUGGACGGUGUAGUCGGUCGCGAUCGGUCGGGACGUGGACGGUGCGGAUUGGUAGGGGCAAGCAGGCUGUUGAUAUGCUGUGGAGAUGCGUUGUGCGAUGUGGUUGGCAGGGGCGUACGGGUGUUCGGACUGGUGUCUGGACGGCUGCGGGACCAUUCGGCCGUUUGAAACGGACAAGGAGUUGACAUGUGUGCGAGUCACGGGUGAGUAACCGCAGGCGAGGAAGUGAUUGGCGGGAUCCUCGUGGGGUGCACGCGACGACUUGAUCUUCUGAGAGGGUUCGAGUGUGAGAUGCUGUCGGGACCGAAGAUGGUGAACUAUGCUGAGGGGGCGAAGCAGAGGAACUUGGUGGAGGCCGAGCGAUACUGAGUGCAAUGUUCGUCUGAUUGGGUAUAGGGGGAAGAUAUGAACGUUAGUAGCUGGUUCCUCGAAGUUUCUCAGGAUAGCUGGAGCCGGGUGCGAGUUUAUCGGGUAAGGAAUGAUUAGAGGAUGGGGGGCAACGCCUGAUAUUCUAACUUUAAUAGGUAGGACGGGCGGCUGUUUGUUGAGCGGCAGGAUGAGAGUCAGUGGGCAUUUUUGGUAAGCAGAAUGGCGAUGCGGGAUGACGGAAGGGGUUACGGUGCAAUGGCGUAACUAGAACAAGGGUGUUGGUCGAUUAGAGCAGGAGGUGGUCUGGAAGUCGAAUCGUAAGGAGUGUGUAAAUACUGCGAUAAUAGCCGAAAUGGAUGGGUUAAGCGGCGAUACCGGCGUGAGGCAGUGCAGGCCGAUGAGUAGGAGGGCGGGCGGUCGUGCAAACUUGGGGUGAGCCGGGCGGAGGGCGUCGGUGGGAUUUGGUGGUAGUAGAAUAUUCAAUGAGAAUUUGAAGGCGAGAGGGGAAGGUUCAUGUGAAGGCAUUGCAUGGGUUAGUCGAUCUAAGAGGGGGGAAGCCGUCAGAUAGGUGUUUACGGAGUUCGAAGGGAUGGGUUAAAUUCUGAACGGGAGUGGCGGUGAGGACGUUAGGGAUUCGGAGAGUCGGGGGGGCUCGGGAGAGUUAUUUUUCUGUUUAAGCUGCCACUGGAACGAUCAGUGGAGGUAGGGUAGCGGUGGAAGGAGACGUGGCGGUGUCGGUGCGCCCGGGGCCUUGAAUCGGAGGACGAGUGUCCACGCGGUGUAUCAUACGAUAGGUUCAAGGUGAAGCUUGGUCGAUGGAAAUGUAGGAAGGGAAGUCGGCAAAUGGAUCGUACUCGGGAAAGGAUUGGUUGAGGGUGGGCGGGGGUCUGUCGACCGUCGGUGUCGGUGGAUGCUGAGUGCUUCGGGCGAGAGGGGUACGGUGCGGCGGGGGACGGACUGGGAAGGCUUUCGGGGGCUUCCGGGCGUCGAACAGCAUCAGAAUGGUAGGAAGGGGAAUCGACUGUUUAUUAAACAAGCAUUGCGAUGGUCUGGGAUGCUAAGCAAUGUGAUUUUGCCAGUGUUGAAUGUCAAGUGAAGAAUUCAACAAGCGGGGUAACGGGGGAGUAUAUGAUUCUUAAGGUAGCAAUGCUGUAUUAAUUAGUGAGCGCAUGAUGGAUUAACGAGAUUCAUGUCUGUUAUAUCAGCGAAACAGCAAGGGAGGGCUUGGAGAUAGCGGGGAAGAGACCUGUUGAGCUUGAUUAGUCGAUUUGUGAAUGAUUGAGAGGUGUAGUAUAGUGGGAGCCUCGGGCGAAGUGAAUACAUACUUUUAACGUUAUUUUAUUAUUCGUGAAUCGGAAGCGGGGCAGCUUUUUUGGACCAAGGCGCUCGGCGGGUGAUCGGGGGAAGAAUUGUAGGUGGGGAGUUUGGCUGGGGGGCAUUGUUAAAAGAUAGCAGGUGUCUAAGAUGAGUCACGAGAAAGAAUUGUGUAGAAGAAGGGUAAAGCUCGUUUGAUUUGAUUUCAGUAGAUAGACGUGAAGGUGGCUAAGAUCUUUAGACUUCGGAUUUGAAGCUAGAGGUGUAGAAAGUUACCAGGGAUAAUGGCUUGUGGAGCAGCGUUUAGGACGUUGUUUUUGAUCUUCGAUGUCGGUUUUAUAUUGUGAAGCAGAUUCAAGUGUUGGAUUGUUCACCAAUAGGGAAGUGAGCUGGGUUUAGACGUGUGAGACAGGUUAGUUUUACCUAUGAUGAUAGUGUCGCAUAGUAUUAACUAGUACGAGAGGAAGUUGAUUCGCAAUUGGUCAUGGCUUGGUUGAAAGCAGUGGGGAAGUACGUGCGCUGGAUUAUGAUGACGCUCUAAGUCAGAAUCGGGUAGAAGCGAGCGUGUGCCGUGUGUUUGCGACAGCAGU